GUGCUCGCUGCACUUUCGUGAAUCGGCAUUCCUGCGGCCCGGUUUUCUUUGUCAAGACGCAGUACCUACGGUAUUUCCUGUCAUCGCAGGCGCCGGAGCUAACCAUGACAACACGUGUGGUGACCGUGGCCAGCAUCGUGUCCAGGCUUCAAAGACUGAAGAGUCGGGUUCGCCAGGCCACGUGAACUCGUACCUCCCAGAAAACGCCUUGUCCACGGGCUGCCAAGCGAAUGAGACGGCCGCGCGGAAAGUAUCCAGUUUAGCAGAAACUGCAGGGUGGUGCGCAACGGAGGGUCAUUGCGACCACACCUACGCCCGUCCAUCACAUGGAUGCGUAGCACCUUCCCAAGAAGUCCCAG
rnacentral:lncRNA from 1 species